UUUUUAAUAUUGCGUGUCAAAUUCCCUAUUCCCUCUGAUUCUGCGCCCUAUGCAAGAUCGUCGUCGCCUCUCCUCAAAUUCAACAUGCUGUCGUCCGCUUUCACUCCCAAAUCCUUCUCCCCUCUCGAAACCCUAACCCCCUCCCUCUCCCGACGAGCACCCCACCGUCUCAGAUGCAAGCCCGCUUCCCUUACCGUCAGAUCCCUCUUCACCGGAAUCGUCGAAGAGAUGGGCCAGAUCCGCCACCUGGGCCCCACCCCCUCCGGCGACGGCAUCGAGCUCAAGAUCUCCGCCAGGACCGUGCUCGGCGGCGUCAGUCUCGGCGACUCCAUCGCCGUCAACGGCACGUGCCUCACCGUGUCCCAGUUCGACCUCGCUUCCUCCCAAUUCUCCGUCGGCCUCUCCCCCGAAACCCUCAGCAGGACCUCUCUCUCCGACCUCGGCCCCGGCUCCCCCGUCAACCUCGAGCGGGCCCUGCAGCCAGUCUCCCGAAUGGGGGGCCACUUCGUCCAGGGGCACGUGGACUGCACGGGGGAGAUCGUGUCGGUGAGGCCUGAGGGGGAUUCGCUGUGGGUGAAGGUGAGGGUUGAGUCGGCCGAUGUGAUGAGGUACAUCGUGCCGAAAGGGUUCAUAACGGUGGACGGAGCGAGCUUGACGGUGGUUGGGGUUUACGAGGAGGAGGGGUGUUUCGAUUUCAUGCUGGUGGCUUAUACUCAGAUGAAGGUGGUGAUCCCAACGAAGAAGGUCGGGGAUAAGGUUAAUUUGGAGGUGGAUAUACUCGGCAAGUAUGUCGAUAAACUGCUCAAGAGCGGCGCUGUGAGCUCGGCUUCUUGAUUGCUGGAAGGAGAAUGAGGAAGAGGACAAGCUCAAAAGAUAAUUGAUAAAUUCAUAUUUGAGGUGUGUGAUGGAGGACUUUGGUUUACAUGGAUCUAUAAAUAUUGAUUCAUUUGAAUGUGAUUAGACCCUGGUUCAUGCUAAUGUUAAUGGCCAAGAUGUGGAAGAUGGGGUAGGAAUAAGUAGAAAUAUUUCAAAUGAGCACUGUGAAAUUGUCAUACCCUAUAAAUGUAUGGAGUUUAAAACACAAGAGGAGGUUUAUUCUUAUUGAAAAAAAUAUGCAAAGACUUAUGGAUUUGGUGUAUCAA